rnacentral:rRNA from 1 species
AGUCGAGCGGGGAGAGUAGCUUGCUACUUUACCUAGCGGCGGACGGGUAAGUAAUGCUUAGGAAUCUGCCCAUUAGUGGGGGACAACAUCUCGAAAGGGAUGCUAAUACCGCAUACGUCCUACGGGAGAAAGCAGGGGACCUUCGGGCCUUGCGCUAAUAGAUGAGCCUAAGUCGGAUUAGCUAGUUGGUGGGGUAAAGGCCUACCAAGGCGACGAUCUGUAGCGGGUCUGAGAGGAUGAUCCGCCACACUGGGACUGAGACACGGCCCAGACUCCUACGGGAGGCAGCAGUGGGGAAUAUUAGACAAUGGGGGGAACCCUGAUCCAGCCAUGCCGCGUGUGUGAAGAAGGCCUUUUGGUUGUAAAGCACUUUAAGCGAGGAGGAGGCUACCGAGAUUAAUACUCUUGGAUAGUGGACGUUACUCGCAGAAUAAGCACCGGCUAACUCUGUGCCAGCAGCCGCGGUAAUACAGAGGGUGCAAGCGUUAAUCGGAUUUACUGGGCGUAAAGCGCGCGUAGGUGGCCAAUUAAGUCAAAUGUGAAAUCCCCGAGCUUAACUUGGGAAUUGCAUUCGAUACUGGUUGGCUAGAGUAUGGGAGAGGAUGGUAGAAUUCCAGGUGUAGCGGUGAAAUGCGUAGAGAUCUGGAGGAAUACCGAUGGCGAACGCAGCCAUCUGGCCUAAUACUGACACUGAGUGCGAAAGCAUGGGGGAGCAAACAGGAUUAGAUACCCUGGUAGUCAUGCCGUAAACGAUGUCUACUGGCCGUUGGGGACUUUGAGGCUUUAGUGGCGCAG